CCUACGGGUGGCAGCAGUGGGGAAUAUUGCGCAAUGGGCGAAAGCCUGAAGCAGCGACGCAGCGUGAGGGAUGAAGGUCUUCGGAUCGUAAACCUCUGUCAGCAGGGAAGAACGGUCACUGUGCUAAUCAGCAGUGAAUUGACGGUACCUGCAAAGGAAGCACCGGCUAACUCCGUGCCAGCAGCCGCGGUAAUACGGCGGGUGCGAGCGUUAAUUGGAAUUACUGGGCGUAAAGCGCUAGUAUGCGGUAUGUCAAGUCAAGGGUGAAAUCCCCGCGCUCAACGUGGGAACUGCCUUUGAAACUGGCAACCUUGAGUGUAGUAGAGGAUAGUGGAAUUCCAGGUGUAGGAGUGAAAUCCGUAGAUAUCUGGAGGAACAUCAGUGGCGAAGGCGACUAUCUGGCACAUAACUGACGCUGAGGAGCGAAAGCGUGGGUAGCAAACAGGAUUAGAUACCCUAGUAGUC
rnacentral:rRNA from 1 species